GAUGAAGAACGUAGCGAAAUGCGAUAAGUAAUGUGAAUUGCAGAAUUCAGUGAAUCAUCGAAUCUUUGAACGCACAUUGCGCCCCUUGGUAUUCCGGGGGGCAUGCCUGUUCGAGCGUCAUUAUAACCCCUCAAGCUCAGCUUGGUGUUGGGGCCUGCCGACUGGCAGCCCUUAAAAUCAGUGGCGGCGCCAUCUGGCUCUAAGCGUAGUAAUUUCACUCGCUAUAGAGUCCCGGUGGAUGCUUGCCAGCAACCCCCAACUUUCUAUGGUUGACCUCGGAUCAGGUAGGGAUACCCGCUGAACUUAAGCAUAUCAAUAAGCGGAGGA
rnacentral:misc_RNA from 1 species